GACAGAGGGUGCAAGCGUUAAUCGGAAUAACUGGGCGUAAAGAGCACGUAGGCGGUUUAUUAAGUCAGGUGUGAAAGACCAGGGCUCAACCUUGGGUUGUCAUUUGAAACUGAUAAACUAGAGAGCAGUAGAGGGAAGUGGAAUUUCCGGUGUAGCGGUGAAAUGCGUAGAUAUCGGAAGGAACAUCAGAGGCGAAAGCGACUUUCUGGGCUGUUUCUGACGCUGAGGUGCGAAGGCGUGGGUAGCGAACAGG
rnacentral:rRNA from 1 species